rnacentral:lncRNA from 1 species
GGGUGUGUCUUUUAAGUGUUUGGACUGUUGCCUUUAUGAGAUUAUGAUUGACAAAAGAGCGAGAUUAUUUUUAUUUGUCACGUCACCAGAAUAAGACCCCCGACAUUAAUUAAUAGUCAGAGUAGAGGACCUUGUGCAUUUCAGGCAAGUCAGUUAAGAACAAAUUCUUAUUUACAAUGACGGCCUACACCAGCCAAACCCGGACGACGCUGGGCCAAUUAUGCACUGCCCUAAGGGACUCCCAAUCAUGGCCGGUUGUAAUACAGCCUGGAUACGAACCAGGGUCUGCAGUGACACCUCUAGCACUGAGAUGCAGUGCCUUAGACCGCUGCGCCACUUGGGAGCUGUGAAGAUAUUCAGUACAACAGACCACAUUCUGUCCCCACAACAACCAUUGAACCUAGUAUAUAGUUCAGUAAGUAUUUUCUUCUCAAGCACUGGCUGUUUAUUACUUCAUGAACUACAUAUUGGAUUUAGUAUGUGGACAAUGGCUGUGCUACAGUAGGUCUUCAUCUUUUGAGUACACAUUUCUGAUGUUUAUUUUUUUGGCUACAUUCUUUAAAUAACUCAAAACAAAAUAACUUUUGAUUGCUUUCUCUAGAAAACUGUUUAGUGGCAGAUCUUUGUCAGACUCAGUAGAACAUAUUCUAAGUAUAGUUGCUGCCACCUAGUGGCUGAAAAAUAAAAUGUAUAAGUGACAUUUUUUUUGCAUAACCAAGUAGCACUAUUUAUUUUCUGUUGAAAAUGUCCCAUUAAAAAAGGGGUUUGAAGCCCAGUCCUGCCUCUCUCAGGAUGGGUUCAGCGGGGCUACCCCUGAUUGGGGUGGGUCUGUGGGGGGUAAACAGACUCCCUCUGGGAGGGUCACCCAGCAGAGGAGCCACUCUGGACCAGAGGGGUUUGGACGGACUAGUCCUCUUCUAGGGCGGUGGGGGUUUCCAGGCUAUGGUUAACAAGACAUUGACACAAAUUUGAUAUAUUAAACCAAAGUUGACCCAAAAAAAUACACUACAUUUAAAAAUAUAUAUUUCCUAUCUUUCAAUUAAUACAACAAAAAUCACCUACUCAGCAUCUACUGUAAAUAAGCUACAACAUACACUGAGGACAUUUAUUGCAUUUACUAAUAAAAUAAAUAAAUAGUAUUUUUGACAAGCAUAAAAACAGCAGCAUAAAAUGCAGCUCAAUGACCUAUGAAGUUGAAGGCAGGUGCUCUUGGAGAGGGGUCCCAUCUUGGACAGGAUGUGGUUGUAGUUGGGCGUACAACACGGUUUAAGGCCCAUGACUCCUGUCUUGAAGUGACACAGGUGUGUGGUGGCCUUGAGAGGGAGCAAAGAGGCCCUGAUGAUCUGGAGCAUGUACAUAGUAUUCAAAAAGUAUUCAGACCCCUUGACUUUUUCCCACAUUCUG